UCUCUCUGUAGCCGUAUGGUUCAUUCUAUCCCAUCAACAACUAUAAUUCAAAUAAAAUCGAGAGAGAGACAGGUUUGAGCUUUUUUCUUGGUUCAGUGCCAAAAGGUACCAAAGCCCACCUCGCAUUUGGACCUCAAAGACCAUUGGAAUAACUACAGCAAAGAGCCAAAAAGCCACCACAUUUCCCCUUCUCUCUCUCUCUCUCUCUCUCUCUCAGAGCUUGAGAGAGUGUGUAAUUGUUUUGAUCUUGUUUUCUGGGUUGAUCCACCGACCCGAAGCUUCGAUUCCAUCGGAGGAGACCCACAGCCCGAGCCUGGUCCCGACGGCGGACCCCAAGCUGCAGCCUCCGAUGGACGGCUGACCUCCACGAGCGAUUCGUCGACGCCGUCGCCCAGCUCGGGGCCCCCGAAAGUUGGUACCUUUUUGCCUUUUGCUGCAAGUGUUCCCUGGUUCUCCAUCAUCAAUGACCGAAAGAAGCAACACCAAAGGCUAUCAUGCAAACGAUGGGUGCUAUAAAGGGCUGACACUUUUUCACCUGAAGAGUCAUCUCCAGAAAUACAGAUCAGGAAAGCAAUCAGGCAAAGAAAUGACUGAACAGUCAAAAGAUGGCAGGUCCAGAAGUUCUUCCUUUGUGUUGUCUUUGCUCAACACCUUGUCUGCUCAUUCAAUAAUCUUUCCAAAAAGGUUCCAAAGAAUUUGGUAGAAGGCCUUGAUGUCUUUAGGUGAUCUAUUUAAACCCCCGUCGUUAUAACUACCUAUCGGGGAAAAGAAGUUCGGAGUCUGUCUCAGUUCUAUCUUCUUUCCUAAUAUAGUCAGAUAAGUCAGAUCUCGGAUCUCUUUCCAAAUUCCUCUUAAAUUGUCCUUCUUGUCGAUGGAACUUGCUAUAUCUUUUUUUUUCAGAAAAUGUUUCUCGUCGGCUACCAAUUCAGAAGGCUAGCGGAAAACAGAUAGAGCAGGCAGAGUAAAUACUUGAAAGAGAUUCUUGCAUUGACUGUCUUGGGAAUCACCUUUUCAUAUCUAGUUGUAUGAGAGAAACUAAUCGAAUCCAAUCAUCGGGAUUUUACUUUUUUGACAAUCAGUACAAGUGAUCAUACAGAAGCCUGAUUGUUUUACAUUUAUUCGGCUACAUCGCUUUUAACUCCUUGCCACUUGAAUCUCAGCUUCCUGCAUUUUAGAGAAUAGGAGCAGCAGUGCUUUAUCUCCAAAAAGUACCUACUCUUGAUGUCAGCACGAUGCAUGAGCAUGUCGGGAAACAUUGGACAUGGUUGGUGCUCCUGCUUUUAGGGGUCAGGAAGUGAAAGAGGCACUAAGAGCACAAAUGGAAGUGCAAAGACUGCUUGAACAAGUGGAGGCUGAGAAGCAUCUGCAGAUUCUAAUGGACGCGCAUCAGAAGUACAUCGAUUCCUUGCUAGCAAAGGCAUAUAAGAUAGCGUCAGAGCAAAUCGCUUCGAAUGGUUUCAGCACGACCAAACAAGAAGCUCCAGACAUGGUAACCAGGGCCAUUUGCUCCCCAUCUCUCCUCCAUCAGCUAUCGAUGAGUUCAGUAAACCUCCACAGCUCCAGUUGCAAGACUUCUCCCUCAUCCACCACUGCCGCAACCAUCGAAGGCCAGUUCUUCUAUCAGAAGUUUGCUGAAUUAGGAAACCAACCGUGCUGAUGUAUUGUCUGCAAGAUGGAUUCAUUCUCUGUUAUCAGAUCUUGCAAAUUUGGUGCCAUCUUGUAAGAUCAUUGAGAAAACUCCCACUGUCCCACUCCACAAUUGUUGUGUAACAGCCCUUUAAUUGUUCAUGUACUACCUGCUAUGAAACAAAGUCGCAUUGUUGUGUUCUA